AGGAGGAACAACCGCAGUGGCAGGGCCAGCUCUGCAGCCCUGGAGUCAGCCCCCGCAGUAGCUCCAGAGCUCUCCAUCUGCAGGGCCUGGAGGCUCCGGGCGGGG
rnacentral:pre_miRNA from 1 species